GUGCCAGCCGCCGCGGUAAUACGAAGGGUGCAAGCGUUAAUCGGAAUUACUGGGCGUAAAGCGUGCGUAGGUGGUUUGUUAAGUCUGAUGUGAAAGCCCUGGGCUCAACCUGGGAAUGGCAUUGGAAACUGGCUUACUAGAGUGCGGUAGAGGGUAGCGGAAUUUCCGGUGUAGCGGUGAAAUGCGUAGAGAUCGGAAGGAACAUCCGUGGCGAAGGCGGCUACCUGGACCAGCACUGACACUGAGGCACGAAAGCGUGGGGAGCAAACAGGAUUAGAUACCCUGGUAGUCCACGCCCUAAACGAUGCGAACUGGACGUUGGGCUCAACUUGGAGCUCAGUGUCGAAGCUAACGCGUUAAGUUCGCCGCCUGGGGAGUACGGUCGCAAGACUGAA
rnacentral:rRNA from 1 species